GACGAACGCUGGCGGCGUGCCUAAUACAUGCAAGUAGAACGCACAGUUUAUACCGUAGCUUGCUACACCAUAAACUGUGAGUUGCGAACGGGUGAGUAACGCGUAGGUAACCUGCCUGGUAGCGGGGGAUAACUAUUGGAAACGAUAGCUAAUACCGCAUAAUAUUGAUUAUUGCAUGAUAAUUGAUUGAAAGAUGCUAUUGCAUCACUACCAGAUGGACCUGCGUUGUAUUAGCUAGUAGGUGAGGUAACGGCUCACCUAGGCGACGAUACAUAGCCGACCUGAGAGGGUGAUCGGCCACACUGGGACUGAGACACGGCCCAGACUCCUACGGGAGGCAGCAGUAGGGAAUCUUCGGCAAUGGACGAAAGGCUGACCGAGCAACGCCGCGUGAGUGAAGAAGGUUGUCGGAUCGUAAAGCUCUGUUGUAAGAGAAGAACGGGUGUGAGAGUGGAAAGUUCACACUGUGACGGUAUCUUACCAGAAAGGGACGGCUAACUACGUG
rnacentral:rRNA from 1 species